rnacentral:lncRNA from 1 species
GCUGUAUCUGUGGUGGGUUAAUGUAGUGUGGCUGUAUCUGUGGUGGGUUAAUGUAGUGUGGCUGUAUCUGUGGUGGGUUAAUGUAGAUUGGCUGCAUCUGUGGUGGGUUAAUGUAGAUUGGCUGUAUCUGUGGUGGAUUAAUGUAGUGUUGCUGUAUCUGUGGUGGGUUAAUGUAGUGUGGCUGUAUCUGUGGUGGGCUAAUGUAGUGUGGCUGUAUAUGUGGUGGGUUAAUGUAGUGUUGCUGUAUCUGUGGUGGGUAAUGUAGUGUGGCUGUAGAUUGGCUGUAUCUGUGGUGGAUUAAUGUAGUGUUGCUGUAUCUGUGGUGAGUUAAUGUAGUGUUGCUGUAUCUGUGGUGGGUUAAUGUAGUGUGGCUGUAUCUGUGGUGGGUUAAUGUAGUGUGGCUGUAGAUUGGCUGUAGAUUGGCUGUAUCUGUGGUGGAUUAAUGUAGUGUUGCUGUAUCUGUGGUGAGUUAAUGUAGUGUUGCUGUAUCUGUGGUGGGUUAAUGUAGUGUGGCUGUAUCUGUGGUUGGUUAAUGUAGUGUUGCUGUAUCUGUGGUGGGUUAAUGUAUUGUUGCUGUAUCUGUGGUGGGUUAAUGUAGUGUUGCUGUAUCUGUGGUGGGUUAAUGUAUUGUUGCUGUAUCUGUGGUCGGAUAAUGUAGUGUGGCUGUAUCUGUGGUGGGUUAAUGUAGUGUGGCUGUAUCUGUGGUGGAUUAAUGUAGUGUGGCUGUAUCUGUGGUGGGUUAAUGUAGUGUCGCUGUAUCUGUGGUGGGUUAAUGUAGUGUGGCUGUAUCUGUGGUGGGUUAAUGUAGUGUUGCUGUAUCUGUUGUUGGUUAAUGUAGUGUUGCUGUAUCUGUGGUGGGUUAAUGUAGUGUUGCUGUAUCUGUGGUGGGUUAAUGUAGUGUUGCUGUAUCUGUGGUGGGUUA